UACGAAGGGGGCGAGCGUUGUUCGGAAUACUGGGCGUAAAGCGUGCGCAGGCGGUUUUGUAAGUUUGUCGUGAAAGCCCCGGGCUCAACCUGGGAAUUGCGAUGAAGACUGCAAGGCUUGAAUCUGGCAGAGGGGGGUAGAAUUCCACGUGUAGCAGGUGAAAUGCGUAGAGAUGUGGAGGAACACCGAUGGCGAAGGCAGCCCCCUGGGUCAAGAUUGACGCUCGAUGCACGAAAGCGUGGGGAGCAAACAGG
rnacentral:rRNA from 1 species